GUAUCGUUAUGUGAAUACAUAGCAUAACGAGGCGAACCGGGGGAACUGAAACAUCUAAGUACCCCGAGGAAAAGAAAUCAACCGAGAUUCCGAAAGUAGCGGCGAGCGAAAUUGGACUAGCCCUUAAGCUUUACACACGUUAGACGAACGGUCUGGAAAGUCCGACGAUACAGGGUGAUAGUCCCGUAGUUGACGAUGUGUGUUCAGUGAAAUCGAGUAGGGCGGGACACGUGAUAUCCUGUCUGAAUAUGGGGGGACCAUCCUCCAAGGCUAAAUACUACUGACUGACCGAUAGUGAACCAGUACCGUGAGGGAAAGGCGAAAAGAACCCCUGUGAGGGGAGUGAAAUAGAACCUGAAACCGUGUACGUACAAGCAGUAGGAGCACCUUCGUGGUGUGACUGCGUACCUUUUGUAUAAUGGGUCAGCGACUUAUAUUCAGUAGCAAGGUUAACCAUCUAGGGGAGCCGUAGAGAAAUCGAGUCUUAACUGGGCGUCGAGUUGCUGGAUAUAGACCCGAAACCAGGUGAUCUAGCCAUGGGCAGGUUGAAGGUUGAGUAACAUCAACUGGAGGACCGAACCGACUAAUGUUGAAAAAUUAGCGGAUGACUUGUGGCUAGGGGUGAAAGGCCAAUCAAACCUGGAGAUAGCUGGUUCUCCCCGAAAUCUAUUUAGGUAGAGCCUCGGACGAAUACUACUGGGGGUAGAGCACUGUUAAGGCUAGGGGGUCAUCCCGACUUACCAACCCUUUGCAAACUCCGAAUACCAGUAAGUACUAUCCGGGAGACACACGGCGGGUGCUAACGUCCGUCGUGGAGAGGGAAACAACCCAGACCGCCAGCUAAGGUCCCAAAUUAUAGCUAAGUGGGAAACGAUGUGGGAAGGCUUAGACAGCUAGGAUGUUGGCUUAGAAGCAGCCAUCAUUUAAAGAAAGCGUAAUAGCUCACUAGUCGAGUCGGCCUGCGCGGAAGAUGUAACGGGGCUAAGCUAUAAACCGAAGCUGCGGCAAUG
rnacentral:rRNA from 1 species